AGGAUAGGCCGGGAAUUGAACCCGGGCCGCCCGCGUGGCAGGCGAGCAUUCUACCACUGAGCCACC
rnacentral:tRNA from 1 species